CCUACGGGAGGCAGCAGUGGGGGAUAUUGCACAAUGGGGGAAACCCUGAUGCAGCGACGCCGCGUGUGGGAAGACGGUCCUCUGGAUUGUAAACCACUGUUCCCAGGGACGAAAAUGACGGUACCUGGGGAGGAAGCACCGGCUAACUACGUGCCAGCAGCCGCGGUAAUACGUAGGGAGCGAGCGUUGUCCGGAAUUACUGGGUGAAAAGGGAGCGUAGGCGGGGAUGCAAGUUGGGUGUCAAAACUACCGGCUCAACUGGUAGUCGCACUCAAAACUGCAGCUCUUGAGUGAAGUAGAGGCAGGCGGAAUUCCUGGUGUAGCGGUGAAAUGCGUAGAUAUUAGGAGGAACUCCAGUGGCGAAGGCGGCCUGCUGGGCUUUUACUGACGCUGAGGCUCGAAAGUGUGGGGAGCAAACAGGAUUAGAUACCCUUGUAGUC
rnacentral:rRNA from 1 species